rnacentral:rRNA from 1 species
AAACGAAGUGAAUUGAAAUAUCUUAAUAACUUCAGGAAAAUAAAUCAAAAGAGAUAUCCUUAGUAAUGUGAAUGAAAUGGGUUAAGUUUUAAUAAGUAAAAUGGAGUGCACAUCUGUUUGAACGAAAGGGGAACCUUCCUCUAAAACUAAAUAUAAUAUAUAAGCGAUAGCGAAAAGUACCGUGAGGGAAAUGAUGAAAGUAGUAGUUUUAUAAGCAGUUCAAGAUAAAGUUUAAAUAAACAAUGAGAGCGUACCUUUUGCAUAAUGGGUCAGCAAGUUAAUGUUUGAUGCGAGCAGUAAUGCGCAGGUAAAACAAUUAUGAUAUAAUGAUGUAGUAUCAAUAUUAGACCCGAAGCCGGGUGAUCUUACCAUGAUCAGGAUUAUAAAAGUCCGAACGGGUUAUCGUUGUAUAGAUAUCCGAAGAAUUGUGGUAAGUUAGUGAAAGAUAAAACUCACCGGGAUAGCUGGUUUUCUGCGAAACCUAUAGAAGUAGGUAAUUUAAAUAGAAUAUCAGAAGGUACAGAAUUGUGAUCUUAUACAACUAGUAUUCAUUUUCCUUUAUAUAAGGCAAAGUGAAAAAUAUACUUUUUGUAGACAUUGGGGAGUCGUGAAGGCUCUACCAGUGAGUAUUUGUUCUCGGAAGGACUAGAUAUGUAUAUUGAAUAAUCGGACAUAGUACGAUAAGGUUGUAUGUCUAAAGGGAAACAGCCCAGAACAAGAGUUAAUAAGGUUCCAAAAUUUUUGUUAAGUGAAAUUAAGGCAGUCUUUAUCCCAAACGGUCAGGCAAUAGGCUUAGAAGCAGUCAUUUGUUGAAGAGCUCGUAGCAGAGCACUGGUUUUAUAUAAAUAUUUUAUGGAUAAUAGCACCGAAAAUUUAACGGAUCUAAACAAGAUACCGAAACCUUGUCCAUAUAUAUUAAUGUAUAUAUUAUACAUUGUAUAUAAGGGGUAGCGGAACAUUGGGGAAGUAUUAGAUUGCUCCUUUACAAGGAUUGAACACUGAGAUAGUAAACAACCCAAGUGAUAAUGCUGACAUGAGUAACGAUAAGGGGUAUUACUGAGAAGUUUAGGAUGGAUUUCUUGAAUAAUUAGUAGAAAACCCCCUCGCCUAAAGCUUAUGGCAUUUUUUUUUAAGUUACGGCCUCUAAGUUUGUAAUACUUUUAUAUAUACAUGUUAUAUAUAAAAGAUCCCUAACGGGAUAAACGAUGAGAAAACCUAGAGUCUACAGAAACUAACGUUUAUUUUAACAAUAUAUAAAUGUAAAAUACAAAGUACAAUCUUGUUUUUUUUUUUACAACUUAUUUAAAUAAGACAAGUGAUAAAUGUUCUGGAAAACUGUAUACUUCGUAGCUAAGUAUAAACAAACUAAACCAGAUGAUAUCCUUAGUUUACGCGAUAAUACCGUACCUAAAUACUACCACAAGUAAGCAAGUAGAGAAUACGAAGGCGUUCGAGCCAACAAUCAUUAAGGAACUCGGCAAAUUGACUCUCGUAACUUCGGGAUAAGGUGGGCCGUUCCUCUUAAUUAAUAUUAAGCAAGGAAUAGGAGGCACAGAAUGGUGUUGUACGACUGUUUAAUUAAAACAAAGCACGCUGCAAAGAAAUAAAUUCGAAGUAUUGAGUGUGAUCUCUGCCCAACGGCGGCUGGUUAUCGGAUUUGCUUAGUUGACUAAAAUAAGCUAGGCUUUGAAGGAACCCCCGUCAAGUGGCGGCCUUACCUAUAAGGGUCCAAAGGUAGCGGAAUACCCUGGCCGUUAAAUGCGGUCUUGCAUGAAUGAUGUAACGAUACAACAGCUGUCUCUAUGAUUGGCUCGGUGAAAUUGGAAUAACUGUGCAGAUACAGUUUACCUCUAGUUAGACGAGACUUACUUAUCAAGUUUAACGGCUUAAUCUUGCCUUACUGUUUGACUUACACGUCUUUCAGUCGCGUAAGCGGGGCAUAUGAUCACAAGAUGCAAAAAGGAAAGGUCUUGGAAUAAUGAAAAAGUUACGCUAGGGAUAACAGGCUAAUUGCGCCAGAGAGUUCAAAUUGAGUGCGCAGUUUGGCACCUCGAUGUCGGCUUAGCUUAUCCACAUGAAUGUAGGAGUCAUGAAGGGUGCGACUGUUCGUCGAUUAAAAAGUUACAUGAGCUGGGUUUAGUGCGUCGUGAGACAGCACGGUUUCUAUCUUCUAGAGGAAAUUAGAAUAAAAUAAGGAUAGCCCCUUGUACGAAAGGAGUUGGGUAUAUUAACCUAUGGUUUACCUGUUGUUUAAUAUCCUAUAUUAAUAUGAUUAAAAAGAAAAGGUGAUUUUUCUGUAUAAAAUAUAGGAAAAAAGUCUUUUUUUUUUUAGCUUAUUUGUUUGUAAUUAAUACACGGUUAGUAUAUUGCUUGACAUAAGCUGGGGUUAAUACUUAACACUAUGUAUUAAUAGGCUUAGAUGCUUAUUCAGGUUAGGUGUAUAAAAACUGAAAGGGAUGAUACACACAAGCUGUUUAAAGCGCUACGCCUUGUAAUGGCACGGCAGGAAAGCUAUGUUAGUUAAUGAUAAGUGCUGAAUGCAUAUAGGCGCGAAACAUACCUUAGGAUAUUCUUGGAUAUACGUAGUUUAACACUACAAUUU